CCCUUAGAUGUUCUGGGCCGCACGCGUGCUACACUGAUGCAUUCAACGAGUCUAAAACCUGGUCUGAUAGGGCUGGGUAAUCUUUUGAAAGUGCAUCGUGAUUGGGAUAGAUGAUUGCAAUUCUUCAUCUUCAACGAGGAAUGCCUAGUAAACGCAAGUCAUCAGCUUGCAUUGAUUACGUCCCUGCCCUUUGUACACACCGCCCGUCGCUCCUACCGAUUGAAUGUUCCGGUGAGCUCUUCGGACUGCGCGGUCUGCAGUUUCUGCGUUCCGUGCGGAAAGUUGCGCAAACCUUAACAUUUAGAGGAAGGAGAAGUCGUAACA
rnacentral:rRNA from 1 species